rnacentral:rRNA from 1 species
UACGGAGGAUGCAAGCGUUAUCCGGAAUGAUUGGGCGUAAAGCGUCCGCAGGUGGCAAUGUAAGUCUGCUGUCAAAGCGUCUGGCUCAACCAGAUAAAGGCAGUGGAAACUACAUAGCUAGAGUAAGGCAGGGGUAGAGGGAAUUCCUGGUGUAGCGGUGAAAUGCGUAGAGAUCAGGAAGAACACCGGUGGCGAAAGCGCUCUGCUGGACCUUAACUGACACUGAGGGACGAAAGCUAGGGGAGCGAAUGGG